GACGAACGCUGGCGGCGUGCUUAACACAUGCAAGUCGAACGGAAAGGCCCUGAUCUUGUGGGGGGCUCGCGUGGCGAAAGGGUGAGUAACACGUGAGUAACCUGCCCUUGACUUUGGGAUAACUUCAGGAAACUGGGGCUCAUACAGCAUAGGAGCUCCUGCUGCAUGGUGGGGGUUGGAAAGUUUCCGCGGUUGGGGAUAGACUCGCGGCGUAGCAGCUUGUUGGGGGGGUGGUGUCGUACCAAGGCUUUGACGGGUAGCCGGCCUGAGCGGGGGACGGGCUACAUUGGGACCGAGUUACGGCCGAGGCUGCGACGGGAGUCAGCAGUUGGGAGUAUUGCACAAGGGGCGGAACCCUGAUGCAGCAACGCCGCGUGCGGUAUGACGCCCUUCGGGUUGUAGACCGCUUUCGCCUGUUACUAAGCGUGAGUGACGUUAAUGGGUAAAGAAGCACCGGCUAACUACGUG
rnacentral:rRNA from 1 species